rnacentral:rRNA from 1 species
ACGCGUAGGUGGUAGUGCAAGUCUGGGGUGGAAUCCCAGGGCUUAACCCUGGAACUGCCUUGGAAACUGUAUUACUUGAGUCAGUGAGGGGAGGGUAGAAUUCCUGGUGUAGCGGUGAAAUGCGUAGAUAUCAGGAGGAAGGCCUGUGGCGAAGGCGGCCCUCUGGCGCUGAACUGACACUGAGGCGCGAAAGCGUGGGGAGCAAACAGGAUUAGAUACCCUGGUAGUCCACGCCCUAAACGGUGGGUACUAGGUGUAGGGCUCGUAAGGGUUCUGUGCCGAAGCGAAAGCAUUAAGUACCCCGCCUGGGGAUACGGCCGCAAGGUUGAA